UGAGUAAGACUACCCGCCGAAUUUAAGCAUAUAAUUAAGCGGAGGAAAAGAAACUAACAAGGAUUCCUUUAGUAACGGCGAGUGAAACAGGAUGAGCUCACCUAUAAUCGGCAAUUUUUUGCCGAGUUGUGGUCUGUAGAAGCAUUGUCGGUCGAGGUUCCGGGCUAAGUCUCUUGGAAAAGAGCAGCUGAGAGGGUGACACUCCCGUUCUUGCCUGGGAUCUGCGAUCAUAGCACAUGCCUUCAACGAGUCGAGUUGCUUGGGAUUGCAGCUCAAAUGCGUGGUAUACUCCAUGUAAAGCUAAAUAUAGGUAGGAAACCGAUAGCGCACAAGUACUGUGAAGGAAAGAUGCAAAGAACUUUGAAAAGAGAGUUAAAGAGUACCUGAAACUGUUGAAAGGGAAGCAAAUGGAAACAGUGUGUUUCCGUACCAUUCUUCCUUCGUGGCUUGCCACGGGGGCGCUGUGGUGCGGGAGUGGUCAGCAUGGGUUUGACUCGGAGCAUAUAGCUAUUCAGGAGGCAUCUGUCUUUUCAGAGAUUACUGUUUAGUGUUGUUCUGGGUUGGAUCGAGGUUAGUAUUUCGUGAUGCUGACGAAAUGUUUCUAUUUACCCCGUCUUGUAACACGGACCAAGGAGUCUGACAUGCGUGCGAGUCGACGGGUUCUGAAACCUGGGAUGCGCAAGGAAGCUGACGAGCGGGAGGCCCUCACGGGCCGCACCGCUGGCCGACCCUGAUCUUCUGUGAAGGGUUCGAGUUGGAGCACGCCUGUCGGGACCCGAAAGAUGGUGAACUAUGCCUGAGCGGGGCGAAGCCAGAGGAAACUCUGGUGGAGGCUCGAAGCGAUACUGACGUGCAAAUCGUUCGUCUGACUUGGGUAUAGGGGCGAAAGACUAAUCGAACCUUCUAGUAGCUGGUUUCCGCCGAAGUUUCCCUCAG
rnacentral:rRNA from 13 species